rnacentral:rRNA from 1 species
AUUGAACGCUGGCGGCGUGCUUAACACAUGCAAGUCGAACGAGAAAGGGACUUCGGUCCUGAGUAGAGUGGCGCACGGGUGAGUAACGCGUAGGUAAUCUACCUCUGCAUCUGGGAUAACACUUCGAAAGGGGUGCUAAUACCGGAUACACUUAUGGGUCGCAAGACCUAUAAGGAAAGGAGACGAUCCGCAAGGAGUUUCUGUGUAGAGAUGAGCCUGCGUCCCAUUAGCUAGUUGGCAGGGUAAGAGCCUACCAAGGCGACGAUGGGUAGCGGGUCUGAGAGGAUGAUCCGCCACACUGGAACUGAAACACGGACCAGACUCCUACGGGAGGCUG